rnacentral:lncRNA from 1 species
AACCUUGUGUCAAUUUCCAAAUUGGCUUCUUCUUUAAGUUGCAAAUUGAUUUUUUAUGCUAAAAAAAGUUUGAUUUAGGACAUAGACAACCAGAAGAUGAUUGGUACAAUUGAUGUUGAAGAUGGCCUAUACAAAUUCAGAUCACAGUCAAAAGCUGAUUUUGGUGUUAGCUCAGUCAUUAUUGCUUUUAAUUCUGUUGUUUCUUGUAAUAAGGUGCC